GCUCUGGUGACAAAAUGGUUAAAGUGCUCAGUUGCUAACUGAAAGGUCAUGGGUUCGAACCCACCAGCUGCU
rnacentral:tRNA from 1 species